rnacentral:rRNA from 1 species
UACGGAGGGUGCGAGCGUUGUCCGGAAUCACUGGGCGUAAAGGGCGCGUAGGCGGCGCGGAUAGUCGGCGGUGAAAGCCCGGAGCUCAACUCCGGGUCGGCCGUCGAUACUUCCGGGCUUGAGCACUGUAGAGGCAGAUGGAAUUCCGGGUGUAGCGGUGGAAUGCGUAGAGAUCCGGAAGAACACCGACGGCGAAGGCAGCGUCCUGGCCGAGCACUGACGCUCAGGCACGAAAGCGCGGGGAGCGAACAGG